rnacentral:lncRNA from 1 species
UACGAGUUAAAUACUAUUCAUUUACUAAAACAUGUCAUGUCGUCCUUUAGAUGGGCCUCCAAAGCCCAAAACAUACUUCGAGACCAAACCAGAAUUAAAUCGAAACCAUAGGGAAUUUUUCGCAAAAUCCCAAAGUUUUUUUUUUGCUCAAUAUAACCCCUUUAUAAAUAUCUAACCUUCCCUGCAAAUUUUAAAACCGAGACCAAUCCAACCAACCAAUUCAUUUCAAUCAAUUUGAUACCAAAUUAU